rnacentral:rRNA from 1 species
CUGCCCAGUGACUAAACGUUAAACGGCCGCGGUAUCCUGACCGUGCAAAGGUAGCAUAAUCAUUUGUUCUCUAAAUAAGGACUUGUAUGAACGGCCACACGAGGGUCUUACUGUCUCUUACUUCCAAUCAGUGAAAUUGACCUUCCCGUGAAGAGGCGGGAAUAAAUUAACAAGACGAGAAGACCCUAUGGAGCUUUAACUAACUAGCCCAAAAGAAAUAUACUUAACCACCAAGGGAUAACAAUACCCUUUAUGGACUAGCAGUUUUGGUUGGGGUGACCUCGGAGAACAAGAAAACCUCCGAGCGAUUUUAAAAACUAGACCUACAAGUCAAACCAAAUUAUCGCUUAUUGAUCCAAAAAACUUGAUCAACGGAACAAGUUACCCUAGGGAUAACAGCGCAAUCCUAUUCAAGAGUCCAUAUCGACAAUAGGGUUUACGACCUCGAUGUUGGAUCAGGACAUCCCGAUGGUGCAACCGCUAUCAAAGGUUCGUUUGUUCAACGAUUAAAGUCCUACGUGAUCUGAGUCCAAAACCCGGAAA